UACGUAGGUGGCAAGCGUUGUCCGGAUUUACUGGGCGUAAAGAGCGCGCAGGCGGUCGUUCAAGUCGCGUGUGAAAGCCCCCGGCUCAACUGGGGAGGGUCACGCGAUACUGAUCGACUCGAAGGCAGGAGAGGGUAGUGGAAUUCCCGGUGUAGUGGUGAAAUGCGUAGAUAUCGGGAAGAACACCCGUGGCGAAAGCGGCUCUCUGGAACGGUACUGACGCUGAGACGCGAAAGCGUGGGGAGCGAACAGG
rnacentral:rRNA from 1 species